rnacentral:lncRNA from 1 species
GAAACCUUCCCCCCUCCCCCGACCGACAUCUCUCUCCUCCUAUCACCACUGCAACCCUUCCCCAUCACCAUCGCAACCCCUGAACCACUCCUCCCUCUUCACCUUCCCGACCCACCUUCUCCCUCCUCCACUCUCUCCUCCACUAUUUAAAUUAAAAAAAAAAAAAACCAAAAAAACCCAGAAACACCUCUUCUCCCACCCCUCCUGACCCUCAUCACCUUCACCGAGCCCAAACCCCUCCACCUCUGAUGCUCUUCACCACCACCAUGUCCAACCCUCUCCUCCUCACACUCCUCCGACCACCCGCCAUUCUCUUUCCCUAGAGACCCACUAUCUUCACCGCUUGUUUGGUCACAAUCAAGACUCCCAAACCCCGUCACAUAACCCUUCACAUCAAAUCUGAAACAAACCCACUAACCCAUAAACCAAAUCAGAAAGAAUCACAAAAUAAUAAUAAUAAUAAUAAUUGCAAGUAAAUGCAAAAUAACGAGAGAGAGAUGUCGGAGAUAACAAAGGAGAGGGAGGCGAGGGGUUGAGUGGCGGCUGGGGGAGGGUUGAGGGAAGGGAAUGAGUUGGAACCAGGGCUCUAUAAAUGGUUCAGACAUAAGGAUUUGGAUUUCAGUUCGACGUCGUCUUCGGCGGUGGGUCUGGGAGGGAGAAGGUGGGUCGGGAAGGUGAAGAAUGAGGAGUGGUCUGGGGGCUGCAAUGGUGAUGGGGAAAGGCUGCGAUGGUGAUGGGAGGAGAGGGAGGUGGG